AAUGGAUUUACAACAGAAAGGCGUGAAAUUUUUGAAGUUCAAAGUUUUGUACUUUCCAGACCUGCACAACGAAUUACCUAUUUGAAAAAUAGAAUAUGGUUAGAAAUUGCUGAUGUAAUAGAGGAUUCAAGUACCAUUUACAAACAAAAUAUUGAAGAGAAUGUGCUCAAAGGAAAUGCAUAUGAAUUCUUUUUUGUUGACCAGGAUGGAACAAUUCUUUGAAACCUAUAGUUAGAAUAAGUUAGUUAGGCCUAGUGAUGUACCAGCCAGAAGUAGAGGAUGACAAAGAAAAU